CCCUUAGAUGUUCUGGGCUGCACGCGCGCUACACUGAUUCAUUCAACGAGUUUUUACUUUCCUUCUCCGAAAGGAGUGGGUAAUCUUUUGAAAUUGAAUCGUGCUGGGGAUAGAUGAUUGCAAUUAUUCAUCUUGAACAAGGAAUACCUAGUAAGCGUAACUCAUCAGGUUGCGUUGAUUACGUCCCUGCCCUUUGUACACACCGCCCGUCGCUCCUACCGAUUGAAUGUUCCGGUGAAAUGUUCGGAUGCAGGUUUGUUUGUGGGGCAACUCACUUUGAAUCAGCAGAAGAUCCUUAAACCUUAACAUUUAGAGGAAGGAGAAGUCGUAACA
rnacentral:rRNA from 1 species